CCAUGCCGGCGUGAGUGAUGGAAGGACCUUCGGGUUGUAAAACUCUUUCGACGGGGACGAUAAUGACGGUACCCGUAGAAAGAAGCCUCCGGCUAACUUCGUGC
rnacentral:rRNA from 1 species